ACAUUAGGCACAGUUUUGGCCUCUAAAUCUGAAAUUAACCUAGUUUGGUACGAAUAAUUUUCGAUUCCUUGUUCCUAAUUGAAAUUGGCAGUACUAGGCGAAGCAAUAUGUCUCAAAAAGACAAACCGGAAGUCAGAAUAAUCGUACAUAUAUGGGGAGACUCGGUUGUGAUAUAUCUUUGAAGGAUGUUCUACGUGUUGGCUAGGGAAACAUAGAAGUCCUUAAAUGAAGAGCACCUAAGGCCUAUAUUAUUAAGUCAGAUUCUAAGCGUUUUAUUGGUUGCAUAUUAAUAGGUCUCAUAUAAUCUACUCUAUAACGAAAAAAAAAACGAUAUUUUCGGAGUCUUGAAGUAAUUUUCUCACAGGAAAUAAUGUAGGCUCUGGAAGACUUUCUAUUUAUAUUUCACUGGAUUAUUCCAGGAAAUACAGGGUCUAUAUGUUCGAAAGAGUGUACUAAACCUAAAGAAUGGGAGCAGAAGGUUUUAAAAUAGAUCGCAAUUGGUGUUUGGUACUCUGUAUCCGGCGUACGCAUCAUACAAGGCUGUGAGAACGAAAAACGUCAGAGAAUACGUAAAAUGGAUGAUGUAUUGGAUUGUGUUUGCGCUGUUCACUUGCACAGAGACCUUCACAGACAUAUUUCUUAGUUGGUUUCCAUUCUACUACGAAAUCAAAAUAAUCCUUGUAAUAUGGUUGCUUUCGCCUGCCACGAAAGGAUCCAGUAUAUUAUACAGGAAGUUCGUCCAUCCGAUGCUCAGCAGCAAGGAACAGGAAAUAGAUGAAUACAUAUCCAAGGCCAAGGAACAAAGUUACAGACAAGUCCUGGAUUUGGGACAAAAGGGGGUCACUGUACUGAUGCAAACAGCCAUAAAAGGCGGAGGUGGUAUAGUGAACCAGCUGAGGAAAUCGUACAGUCUUAGCGAUCUCAGCGAUCCGAAUAAUGGAGCUGAUGAAGUUGAUGACGUUUUAAUGACAGAUUCUAGAUUAGUUAGGAGACGAAAAAAAGAUCGAAGUCCUCACAGAUCCAGCUCAGCUUCAUCAGCUUCAGUCUAUUUCCAGGAGGUUGACGUUACUACCAUGCCUGUCAUACCUGCGGACAGGGUUUCUGAGGUUAGGAGUGCUGAGGAUAUCAGUUCGGGGUAUUCAAGCGGUGAGGGUCUAUACGGUUCUCAACAUCCCCUAAAAUUACAUGCCAGAGAGAGCAUAGCUAGUCAGAGAACUAAUUCUUUGACUAGGUCGCGUUCUACCAGGGUCACCCGGUCGAAUAUACCGAAAAAAUCGACUGCAACCAGUGACGAUAGUGACGAAAACGAAAUAUUCGACACCAAUAUAGUUUUCACCAAAGACACCGCCAAAAAGCCCCCGUGCAAGCCAGAUUCGUCAUCUAGUGAGACCGAAUUUUUUGAUAUUCUUCCCGAAAAUAACGAUUUUCACUUGCAUGGUAAAGCCAGUAAAAUAAUACCGAUAAGGAAUGAUCUAGUACAUUUACCAAUUAUGUCGUACAACAGUAAAUCUAUAACUGCAUGCAACAAUUCUUCGAGCGCGUUCAGUCUUAACCUAACCAAACUUUCCGAAGCUUUAUCUUCGCUGCUGUUUCCUUCUUCCUCUCCAUCGGUUCAAAUUGAGGAACUUGAUCACUUUGAUAGAAGCAGCAAGGGCACUGAAGAUGCAAAUAAGUUAAACAUAGAAAAUUUAGAUGCCUCUGAAUAUACUCUGAAUAAAACUGAUAGAAAAUUAGAUGAUUUAACUGCGAUUAAGGAACUUGAUCGUGUUAAGUAUUCUGAAGGUGGAAAUAAGUCAAACAAAGAUAAUUUGGAUGCCUCUAAAUAUACUGAUGAUGAAAUUAGUAGAAAAUUAGAUGAUAUAAGUCAAAAAGGUGAUAAUAAAUUGAAAAGAGAGUUUCUUGAAGGAUCUAAGCAUCUUGAACUAUCAAGAGGGGGGAAAUAUAAUAAAAAACAAGCCCCCAAACCACCAGAGAGUAAAAAUAAAGAUCUGGAUGCGAGUGCAAUAAAAGCAAGGCUUGUACUCCAACCUGGAGUAGUUAGGAGCAUCAGUAACAGUUCUGAGAACUUAAACAAAGAGAUUUUUUUAAAUUACUCUCCCAAAAUGAGGAGGAAGUCUAGAAACCAUAGUCCUGCUUCAUCCAGAAGUUCUAAAAGCUCAGAUUCUGGUAAAAUUGAGAAUGCUUUGAACAAAAUGCUUAGAUUGCCGAAGAAGAUGACACAUCUGAAUAUUCCUGGAAAGAUCAAAGAAAAAAGGCAUUCCUGGAGUGAGUUUUUUCACGGAAAAAAACUUUCUGAUACGAAGAAACAGUCACUGAGUGCCAGUAAUUUGGAAGUUGUACCAGAAGAUGGCGUUUUGAAGUCCAAAUCUGGUAGUGUGAGUUCCGUGAGGAGUUUGACAGACUCUCCAGUGGCUCACAGGAGGUUAAAGAUAAUAAGAAGAUAUGUCGAUAGUGAUGUUGAUUAAAAAAUCAUCUUUGUAUCAUUGAAAUGGUAUUUUGAAGUUUGAAUCAGAAAAAGAGAUAGGGAAUCUAGUGCAACAUUACCACGUGUUAAGAAAACAAGCAAAAAGAAAACCUUGUGAAAAGAAAAUUCAAAGAAAA
rnacentral:misc_RNA from 1 species